rnacentral:rRNA from 1 species
AAACCAGCACCUCAAGUGGUCAGGAUGAUUAUUGGGCCUAAAGCAUCCGUAGCCUGCUCUGUAAGUUUUCGGUUAAAUCUGUAUGCUCAACAUACAGGCUGCCGGGAAUACUGCAGAGCUAGGGAGUGGGAGAGGUAGACGGUACUCGGGAGGAAGUGGUAAAAUGCUUUGAUCUCUCGAUGACCACCUGUGGCGAAGGCGGUCUACCAGAACACGUCCGACGGUGAGGGAUGAAAGCUGGGGGAGCAAACCGGAUUAGAUACCCCAGUAGUCC